rnacentral:lncRNA from 1 species
UUUGUAUACAAGAGUGUUGAGUGAGGGAGCGACUCCAAUCUUGUAAUACAUUCAUAUUUAGUGGAUUGGUGGUUUUACCCUCCCUUGAGGGGUUUCCACGUUAAUUGUUUGUGUUCUUUACUUUCGUGCUUGUUAUUGUGUUUGAUUAACGUCAAUCUAUAGUGGAUGCGAUCCUAACAAACUGGUAUCAGAGCCAGGUUCGAGGAGUAGAUUCGACGUUAAAGAGGAGACAAUCACGAAGUAGGCUGUUUGUGUUGUUAGUUGGUCUUGAGUUGAUUUUUUGGCUUGAUGGAGGAUCUGAAAUCGUUGAGGAUUGAUGCACCCAAGUAUGAUGGGAAGACGGAUUUCACUAUGUGGCAAUUAACCGUCAAGGAUGUGUUAAUUCAACAAGGACUUGAUGAUGCCUUGGAGAAGACGAAGCCAAAAGAGAUGAGUGAUACAGAUUGGGCGAAAAUCCAGAAGAGAGCGGCGAGUACAAUCAGGCUGGCACUUGCACCCGAAGUGAGAUAUAACGUGUUGAAGGAGUCGACACCAAAGGAGAUAUGGGACAAGUUAGCAAACAUAUACGCUUCAAAGUCGUUGACCAACCGACUUAAUUUGAAGAUGGAGUUGUACUCAUUAAAACUGGAUGAAGAAGGUAAUCUCCAUGAUCACAUUAGUUGUUUUAAUCAGCUGGUAUGUCAUCUGGCUAAUGUUGAUGAGCCGAUGAAAGACGAGGAACAAGCUCUGUUGCUGUUGUCAUCAUUACCGAAGUCCUUCAAAUAUUUUAAGCAGACGUUGUUAGUGGGGAGGACGUCUCUUACGCUUGAUGAUGUGUUAAAAGCGCUAAGAGAUAAUGAGAGGAUGACAAAGGAUGCUGUUUCUCAAAGUGGUGAGACGGUUUUAGCUGUCCAAAGUGCUGAAAGAGGGAGGAGUCGCGCGCGCAAUGACCUGCAAGGAAGAAGUAAAUCUCGGCCGAGUAAGAAGGAUAUGAGCACUGUUGAGUGCUAUUAUUGUGGUGAAACGGGUCAUAUGCAGAUGUUCUGUCCGAACUUUAAAGAAGACUUGAGAUCCUUUAAAGAGAUGAAGGGAAAGAACAAAGUUGAAGAUGCGCACUCUACACAUGUGAUCGAGGAUGGAGAGUUUUUGAUGGCGAGUGAUGAUAUCGUUUCUGAUUCGGUGAUGAAUAAAUCAGAAUGGGUGAUGGAUUCUGCUGCUUCCAUGCACAUAUGUAGGGAUCGAGCGAUGUUUGAGACUUUAUGCACGGAUGAAGAUCUUGGUAAUAUCAUUGUGGGGAAUGAUGAGAAGAUGAAGGUUCACGGCGUUGGAACUGUUUGUCUUAAACUCCAUGAUGGUACAAUCAAGAAGGCUUUCAAUGUCAGGUUUGUACCAGAUGCAUCAAAGAACGUGUUGUCUUUGAGCGUGUUGGCAUCACGAGGGUACAGAUUCGUUGGACGAGGGCGAAGUUGCAAGGUGUAUAAAGGAAAGAGCUUGAUUCUACGAGGGGUGAUGAACAAGAAGAACAUCUAUUGUUUAGAUGGUGGAGCAACGAAGAUGAAGACCGAGAAAAAGGUGAGAUUCUCGGAUUCAGUUGAAGUUUUAGGGAAUUCGAGCCGAGGGAGGAUUUGUUGGGUUCCGUCCCGAAUUCCUAAAUAAGUCAAGAAUCCUAAUUGGAGAAGGUAUCUUAUUUAUGAUAAUUGAGGUAAUCCGAUUCUUGGUAGAAUAUUAAUUGUGGAAGGAUUUCUAUCCAAGAUAGGAAAAGAUGGUAAUUAUCAUAAAUAGGAAUUUGAAGUAAAUUAGGAUUAGAAUAUUUGUGGUGCCUAUAAAUAUAGUUAUUUGUAGGAGUUUUAUUGUAUUGCAAAAGUUAGAGAGUUGUGUGAGAGAUACACAAGAGAGAACUUUUGUGAUCAAGUUGAGGGGUUUGUAUACAAGAGUGUUGAGUGAGGGAGCGACUCCAAUCUUGUAAUACAUUCAUAUUUAGUGGAUUGGUGGUUUUACCCUCCCUUGAGGGGUUUCCACGUAAAUUGUUUGUGUUCUUUACUUUCGUGCUUGUUAUUGUGUUUCAUUAACGUCAAUCUAUAGUGGAUGCGAUCCUAACAAAGUGGUAUCAGAGCGAGGUUCGAGGAGUAGAUUCGGCGUUAAAGAGAAGACAAUCAGGAAGUAGGUUGUUUGUGUUGUUAGUUGGUCUUGAGUUGAUUUUUUGGCUUGAUGGAGGAUCUGAAAUCGUUGAGGAUUGAUGCACCCAAGUAUGAUGGGAAGACGGAUUUCACUAUGUGGCAAUUAACCGUCAAGGAUGUGUUAAUUCAACAAGGACUUGAUGAUGCCUUGGAGAAGACGAAGCCAAAAGAGAUGAGUGAUACAGAUUGGGCGAAAAUCCAGAAGAGAGCGGCGAGUACAAUCAGGCUGGCACUUGCACCCGAAGUGAGAUAUAACGUGUUGAAGGAGUCGACACCAAAGGAGAUAUGGGACAAGUUAGCAAACAUAUACGCUUCAAAGUCGUUGACCAACCGACUUAAUUUGAAGAUGGAGUUGUACUCAUUAAAACUGGAUGAAGAAGGUAAUCUCCAUGAUCACAUUAGUUGUUUUAAUCAGCUGGUAUGUCAUCUGGCUAAUGUUGAUGAGCCGAUGAAAGACGAGGAACAAGCUCUGUUGCUGUUGUCAUCAUUACCGAAGUCCUUCAAAUAUUUUAAGCAGACGUUGUUAGUGGGGAGGACGUCUCUUACGCUUGAUGAUGUGUUAAAAGCGCUAAGAGAUAAUGAGAGGAUGACAAAGGAUGCUGUUUCUCAAAGUGGUGAGACGGUUUUAGCUGUCCAAAGUGCUGAAAGAGGGAGGAGUCGCGCGCGCAAUGACCUGCAAGGAAGAAGUAAAUCUCGGCCGAGUAAGAAGGAUAUGAGCACUGUUGAGUGCUAUUAUUGUGGUGAAACGGGUCAUAUGCAGAUGUUCUGUCCGAACUUUAAAGAAGACUUGAGAUCCUUUAAAGAGAUGAAGGGAAAGAACAAAGUUGAAGAUGCGCACUCUACACAUGUGAUCGAGGAUGGAGAGUUUUUGAUGGCGAGUGAUGAUAUCGUUUCUGAUUCGGUGAUGAAUAAAUCAGAAUGGGUGAUGGAUUCUGCUGCUUCCAUGCACAUAUGUAGGGAUCGAGCGAUGUUUGAGACUUUAUGCACGGAUGAAGAUCUUGGUAAUAUCAUUGUGGGGAAUGAUGAGAAGAUGAAGGUUCACGGCGUUGGAACUGUUUGUCUUAAACUCCAUGAUGGUACAAUCAAGAAGGCUCUCAAUGUGAGAUUUGUACCAGAUGCAUCAAAGAACGUGUUGUCUUUGAGCGUGUUGGCAUCACGAGGGUACAGAUUCGUUGGACGAGGGCGAAGUUGCAAGGUGUAUAAAGGAAAGAGCUUGAUUCUACGAGGGAUGAUGAACAAGAAGAACAUCUAUUGUUUAGAUGGUGGAGAAACGAAGACGAAGACCGAGAAAAAGGUGAGAUUCUCGGAUUCAGUUGAAGUUUUAGGGAAUUCGAGCCGAGGGAGGAUUUGUUGGGUUCCGUCCCGAAUUCCUAAAUAAGUCAAGAAUCCUAAUUGGAGAAGGUAUCUUAUUUAUGAUAAUUGAGGUAAUCCGAUUCUUGGUAGAAUAUUAAUUGUGGAAGGAUUUCUAUCCAAGAUAGGAAAAGAUGGUAAUUAUCAUAAAUAGGAAUUUGAAGUAAAUUAGGAUUAGAAUAUUUGUGGUGCCUAUAAAUAUAGUUAUUUGUAGGAGUUUUAUUGUAUUGCAAAAGUUAGAGAGUUGUGUGAGAGAUACACAAGAGAGAACUUUUGUGAUCAAGUUGAGGGGUUUGUAUACAAGAGUGUUGAGUGAGGGAGCGACUCCAAUCUUGUAAUACAUUCAUAUUUAGUGGAUUGGUGGUUUUACCCUCCCUUGAGGGGUUUCCACGUUAAUUGUUUGUGUUCUUUACUUUCGUGCUUGUUAUUGUGUUUCAUUAACGUCAAUCUAUAGUGGAUGCGAUCCUAACAAAGUGGUAUCAGAGCGAGGUUCGAGGAGUAGAUUCGGCGUUAAAGAGAAGACAAUCACGAAGUAGGUUGUUUGUGUUGUUAGUUGGUCUUGAGUUGAUUUUUUGGCUUGAUGGAGGAUCUGAAAUCGUUGAGGAUUGAUGCACCCAAGUAUGAUGGGAAGACGGAUUUCACUAUGUGGCAAUUAACCGUCAAGGAUGUGUUAAUUCAACAAGGACUUGAUGAUGCCUUGGAGAAGACGAAGCCAAAAGAGAUGAGUGAUACAGAUUGGGCGAAAAUCCAGAAGAGAGCGGCGAGUACAAUCAGGCUGGCACUUGCACCCGAAGUGAGAUAUAACGUGUUGAAGGAGUCGACACCAAAGGAGAUAUGGGACAAGUUAGCAAACAUAUACGCUUCAAAGUCGUUGACCAACCGACUUAAUUUGAAGAUGGAGUUGUACUCAUUAAAACUGGAUGAAGAAGGUAAUCUCCAUGAUCACAUUAGUUGUUUUAAUCAGCUGGUAUGUCAUCUGGCUAAUGUUGAUGAGCCGAUGAAAGACGAGGAACAAGCUCUGUUGCUGUUGUCAUCAUUACCGAAGUCCUUCAAAUAUUUUAAGCAGACGUUGUUAGUGGGGAGGACGUCUCUUACGCUUGAUGAUGUGUUAAAAGCGCUAAGAGAUAAUGAGAGGAUGACAAAGGAUGCUGUUUCUCAAAGUGGUGAGACGGUUUUAGCUGUCCAAAGUGCUGAAAGAGGGAGGAGUCGCGCGCGCAAUGACCUGCAAGGAAGAAGUAAAUCUCGGCCGAGUAAGAAGGAUAUGAGCACUGUUGAGUGCUAUUAUUGUGGUGAAACGGGUCAUAUGCAGAUGUUCUGUCCGAACUUUAAAGAAGACUUGAGAUCCUUUAAAGAGAUGAAGGGAAAGAACAAAGUUGAAGAUGCGCACUCUACACAUGUGAUCGAGGAUGGAGAGUUUUUGAUGGCGAGUGAUGAUAUCGUUUCUGAUUCGGUGAAGAAUAAAUCAGAAUGGGUGAUGGAUUCUGCUGCUUCCAUGCACAUAUGUAGGGAUCGAGCGAUGUUUGAGACUUUAUGCACGGAUGAAGAUCUUGGUAAUAUCAUUGUGGGGAAUGAUGAGAAGAUGAAGGUUCACGGCGUUGGAACUGUUUGUCUUAAACUCCAUGAUGGUACAAUCAAGAAGGCUUUCAAUGUCAGGUUUGUACCAGAUGCAUCAAAGAACGUGUUGUCUUUGAGCGUGUUGGCAUCACGAGGGUACAGAUUCGUUGGACGAGGGCGAAGUUGCAAGGUGUAUAAAGGAAAGAGCUUGAUUCUACGAGGGGUGAUGAACAAGAAGAACAUCUAUUGUUUAGAUGGUGGAGCAACGAAGAUGAAGACCGAGAAAAAGGUGAGAUUCUCGGAUUCAGUUGAAGUUUUAGGGAAUUCGAGCCGAGGGAGGAUUUGUUGGGUUCCGUCCCGAAUUCCUAAAUAAGUCAAGAAUCCUAAUUGGAGAAGGUAUCUUAUUUAUGAUAAUUGAGGUAAUCCGAUUCUUGGUAGAAUAUUAAUUGUGGAAGGAUUUCUAUCCAAGAUAGGAAAAGAUGGUAAUUAUCAUAAAUAGGAAUUUGAAGUAAAUUAGGAUUAGAAUAUUUGUGGUGCCUAUAAAUAUAGUUAUUUGUAGGAGUUUUAUUGUAUUGCAAAAGUUAGAGAGUUGUGUGAGAGAUACACAAGAGAGAACUUUUGUGAUCAAGUUGAGGGGUUUGUAUACAAGAGUGUUGAGUGAGGGAGCGACUCCAAUCUUGUAAUACAUUCAUAUUUAGUGGAUUGGUGGUUUUACCCUCCCUUGAGGGGUUUCCACGUUAAUUGUUUGUGUUCUUUACUUUCGUGCUUGUUAUUGUGUUUGAUUAACGUCAAUCUAUAGUGGAUGCGAUCCUAACAAACUGGUAUCAGAGCCAGGUUCGAGGAGUAGAUUCGACGUUAAAGAGGAGACAAUCACGAAGUAGGCUGUUUGUGUUGUUAGUUGGUCUUGAGUUGAUUUUUUGGCUUGAUGGAGGAUCUGAAAUCGUUG